GCAACGCCGCGUGAGGGACGAAGGCCUUCGGGUUGUAAACCUCUUUUAGCAGGGAAGAAGCGAAAGUGACGGUACCUGCAGAAAAAGCACCGGCUAACUACGUGCCAGCAGCCGCGGUAAUACGUAGGGUGCAAGCGUUAUCCGGAAUUAUUGGGCGUAAAGAGCUCGUAGGCGGUCUGUCGCGUCUGCUGUGAAAACUGGAGGCUCAACCUCCAGCCUGCAGUGGGUACGGGCAGACUAGAGUGCGGUAGGGGAGACCGGAAUUCCUGGUGUAGCGGUGGAAUGCGCAGAUAUCAGGAGGAACACCGAUGGCGAAGGCAGGUCUCUGGGCCGUAACUGACGCUGAGGAGCGAAAGCGUGGGGAGCGAACAGGAUUAGAUACCCUGGUAGUCCACGCCGUAAACGUUGGGCGCUAGGUGUGGGGACCUUCCACGGUCUCCGUGCCGCAGCUAACGCAUUAAGCGCCCCGCCUGGGGAGUACGGCCGCAAGGCUAAAACUCAAAGGAAUUGACGG
rnacentral:rRNA from 1 species